AUCCUUGAAAGAGUGCGUAAUAGCUCACUGGUCAAGUGAUUCCGCGCCGACAAUUCAGCGGGGCUCAAGCCGUCCGCCGAAGCUGUGGCGUCCGCGCGUGUGCCGGGCGCCGGGCCUUGUGUCCGGUGCCGGGCGUGUGGAUGGGUAGGGGAGCGUUGUGCGUGCCGUGAAGCGUCGGGGUGACCCGGCGUGGAGUGCGCGCGAGUGAGAAUGCAGGCAUGAGUAGCGUUUUGACGGGUGGGAAACCCGUCCGCCGAAUAUCCAAGGGUUCCGGGGUCAAGUUGAUCUGCCCCGGGUGAGUCGGGUCCUAAGGCGAGGCCGACAGGCGUAGUCGAUGGUUGACGGGUUGAUAUUCCCGUACCGGCCCAGCAACGGUCCUGUCGAAUCGGGUGAUGCUAAGCACGCGAGAUGUCUCCGGCGCUUUCGGGUGCCGGUGGCGUCGAGUCUGUGAACCGAGUCUGUAGUAGACAAGCUGCGGAGGGACGCAGGAAGGUAGCUCGACAGCCGUCAUGGUAAGGCUGUCAAGUCUGUAGGGUGACUGGUAGGCAAAUCCGCUGGUCGUGUGCCUGAGAGAUGAUGAGAGGGGCCCUGUCAGCAGGGUCCGUGUUCGAGUGAUCCUAUGCUGCCUAGAAAAGCUUCGUGAGCGAGUUGUUGUGCCGCCCGUACCCCAAACCGACACUGGUGGAUAGGUAGAGAAUACCGAGGCGAUCGAGAUAAUCGUGGUGAAGGAACUCGGCAAAAUCCUCCCGUAACUUCGGGACAAGGGAGACUUGAGGCGUGAGGGGCCCGCGCGGCCCUCAGCGCCGGGAGUCGCAGUGAAUUGACCCAAGCGACUGCUUACUAAAAGCACAGGUCCGUGCGAAGUCGUAAGACGAUGUAUACGGACUGACUCCUGCCCGGUGCUGGAAGGUCAAGGGGAACCGUCAGCCUCUCGGCGAAGCGGUGAACUUAAGCCCCAGUAAACGGCGGUGGUAACUAUAACCAUCCUAAGGUAGCGAAAUUCCUUGUCGGGUAAGUUCCGACCUGCACGAAUGGAGUAACGACUUGGGUACUGUCUCCACCACGAGCUCGGUGAAAUUGCAUUACGAGUAAAGAUGCUCGUUACGCGCAGCAGGACGGAAAGACCCCGGGACCUUCACUACAGUUUGGUAUUGGUGAUCGGUGCGGCUUGUGUAGGAUAGGUGGGAGACUGUGAAGCGGCCACGCCAGUGGCCGUGGAGUCGUCGUUGAAAUACCACUCUGGUCGUUCUGGUUGUCUAACCUCGGACCGUGACCCGGUUCAGGGACAGUGCCUGACGGGUAGUUUGACUGGGGCGGUCGCCUCCCAAAGAGUAACGGAGGCGCCCAAAGGUCCCCUCAGCCUGGUCGGCAACCAGGUGUCGAGUGCAAGUGCACAAGGGGGCUUGACUGUGAGACGGACACGUCGAGCAGGGACGAGAGUCGGGACUAGUGAUCUUCUGGUGGCGUGUGGAAGCGCCAGAACUCAACGGAUAAAAGGUACCCCGGGGAUAACAGGCUGAUCUUGCCCGAGCGCUCACAGCGACGGCAUGGUUUGGCACCUCGAUGUCGGCUCGUCGCAUCCUGGGGCUGGAGUCGGUCCCAAGGGUUGGGCUGUUCGCCCAUUAAAGCGGCACGCGAGCUGGGUUCAGAACGUCGUGAGACAGUUCGGUCCCUAUCCGCUGCGCGCGUAGGAAUCUUGAGAAGGGCUGUCCUCAGUACGAGAGGACCGGGACGGACCAACCUCUGGUGUGCCAGUUGUUCCUCCAGGAGCAUGGCUGGUUGGCCACGUUGGGAAGUGAUAACCGCUGAAAGCAUCUAAGCGGGAAGCACGCUUCAAGAUGAGGAUUCCCCAGCCCCGUGCUGGUAAGGCCCCCGGCAGACCACCGGGUUGAUGGGUCGGACGUGGAAGCGCCGCGAGGCGUGGAGCUGACCGAUCCCAAACGGCCGAGAGGCUUGCCC
rnacentral:rRNA from 1 species